rnacentral:lncRNA from 1 species
GAGGCAGUUGCUAAAAUAACCUUAUCACGUUCCACGACUCAAGGGGUUCAAUCGAAAGCGGUUGAACGAUGCAAGAUAAUGGCAGCAGUUAAAAGGACAGUUUCAUGACAAAAUGGUCACUACAAAGAAAGUGGGUAGUUAUAGGGCGAUCAAGCAGUUUUUUAGAGCAGUUAAUCACAAAGGGAUCGCCUAUGAAGUAUAAAAGGGAGAAAGAACUUAGAAGCAAAAGACCGAAUCCAAAAC